GACGAACGCUGGCGGCGUGCUUAACACAUGCAAGUCGAACGGAAAGGCCCUGCUUUUGUGGGGUGCUCGAGUGGCGAACGGGUGAGUAACACGUGAGUAACCUGCCCUUGACUUUGGGAUAACUUCAGGAAACUGGGGCUAAUACCGGAUAGGAGCUCCUGCUGCAUGGUGGGGGUUGGAAAGUUUCGGCGGUUGGGGAUGGACUCGCGGCUUAUCAGCUUGUUGGUGGGGUAGUGGCUUACCAAGGCUUUGACGGGUAGCCGGCCUGAGAGGGUGACCGGCCACAUUGGGACUGAGAUACGGCCCAGACUCCUACGGGAGGCAGCAGUGGGGAAUAUUGCACAAUGGGCGGAAGCCUGAUGCAGCAACGCCGCGUGCGGGAUGACGGCCUUCGGGUUGUAAACCGCUUUCGCCUGUGACGAAGCGUGAGUGACGGUAAUGGGUAAAGAAGCACCGGCUAACUACGUGCCAGCAGCCGCGGUGAUACGUAGGGUGCGAGCGUUGUCCGGAUUUAUUGGGCGUAAAGGGCUCGUAGGUGGUUGAUCGCGUCGGAAGUGUAAUCUUGGGGCUUAACCCUGAGCGUGCUUUCGAUACGGGUUGACUUGAGGAAGGUAGGGGAGAAUGGAAUUCCUGGUGGAGCGGUGGAAUGCGCAGAUAACAGGAGGAACACCAGUGGCGAAGGCGGUUCUCUGGGCCUUUCCUGACGCUGAGGAGCGAAAGCGUGGGGAGCGAACAGGCUUAGAUACCCUGGUAGUCCACGCUGUAAACGGUGGGUACUAGGUGUGGGGUCCAUUCCACGGGUUCCGUGCCGUAGCUAACGCUUUAAGUACCCCGCCUGGGGAGUACGGCCGCAAGGCUAAAACUCAAAGGAAUUGACGGGGCCCCGCACAAGCGGCGGAGCAUGCGGAUUAAUUCGAUGCAACGCGUAGAACCUUACCUGGGUUUGACAUGGAUCGGGAGUGCUCAGAGAUGGGUGUGCCUCUUUUGGGGUCGGUUCACAGGUGGUGCAUGGCUGUCGUCAGCUCGUGUCGUGAGAUGUUGGGUUAAGUCCCGCAACGAGCGCAACCCUUGUUCACUGUUGCCAGCACGUUAUGGUGGGGACUCAGUGGAGACCGCCGGGGUCAACUCGAAGGAAGGUGGGGAUGACGUCAAGUCAUCAUGCCCCUUAUGUCCAGGGCUUCACGCAUGCUACAAUGGCUGGUACAGAGAGUGGCGAGCCUGUGAGGGUGAGCGAAUCUCGGAAAGCCGGUCUCAGUUCGGAUUGGGGUCUGCAACUCGACCUCAUGAAGUCGGAGUCGCUAGUAAUCGCAGAUCAGCAACGCUGCGGUGAAUACGUUCCCGGG
rnacentral:rRNA from 1 species